CCGACCUUGAAAUACCACCCUUUAAUGUUUGAUGUUCUAACGUGGACCCGUUACCCGGGUUGCGGACAGUGUCUGGUGGGUAGUUUGACUGGGGCGGUCUCCUCCUAAAGAGUAACGGAGGAGCACGAAGGUUGGCUAAUCCUGGUCGGACAUCAGGAGGUUAGUGCAAUGGCAUAAGCCAGCUUGACUGCGAGCGUGACGGCGCGAGCAGGUGCGAAAGCAGGUCAUAGUGAUCCGGUGGUUCUGAAUGGAAGGGCCAUCGCUCAACGGAUAAAAGGUACUCCGGGGAUAACAGGCUGAUACCGCCCAAGAGUUCAUAUCGACGGCGGUGUUUGGCACCUCGAUGUCGGCUCAUCACAUCCUGGGGCUGAAGUAGGUCCCAAGGGUAUGGCUGUUCGCCAUUUAAAGUGGUACGCGAGCUGGGUUUAGAACGUCGUGAGACAGUUCGGUCCCUAUCUGCCGUGGGCGCUGGAGAACUGAGGGGGGCUGCUCCUAGUACGAGAGGACCGGAGUGGACGCAUCACUGGUGUUCGGGUUGUCAUGCCAAUGGCACUGCCCGGUAGCUAAAUGCGGAAGAGA
rnacentral:rRNA from 1 species